AUAGAAACAAAACUAUCUUCUAAAACAUCAUACCAAAAAAAUCAGAGGGAAUAUAUCAACCGCUUUUAUUUAACUUCUACUCAGACCAGCCUAACAAAAACAGAUACCCCAGACGAGUAUACACACACUAUGAAUGUCGAUCAUUUGUUCGUGAUUUAAACCGAGUUUUGAUGGAAUUGCGGAAGGACUCUCACCAAGCUAAGAAGAAUUAAUCGAGAAACUUACCGAUUAAUCUAGGUCAAAAGCAAAAAAGGUCGAUUGGAGGUUUGAACCUUAACGUUAGUACAGUUGAUGAACUGGAGGAAGAAAAAGUAUAACACACUUCCUCGUUCACUUUUUUUUUUCCCCAAGAUUUUAUUUGAUAAUAGGGCCAUGCCCACAGUCUUACAAAAGCCCAAAUUUUGAACGGGCUAACUUAAAAAACACAACAGGCACAAGCUCAAAAAAGGAGCCCUAGGCCCAAUAGAAGGUGAUGUCGGCCUUCUUCCAUUGCGAACCGCAGCAUCACCUCCGCCUCGCUCACCUCCGGAGAACCACCCACCGAUUCACCGAGCCACACCGGAACUCUUCCACUCCAUACUAUCUUAACCACGACCGUCAAACUCUCGCAUGCUUCUAAAUCGGAGAGAAUCAAUCGAAUCUUCGAGAUCUCAUCCACCAUCGAUCCGCACAGACAUCAAAGAGAAGGCUUCGCGCAAACAUCACCCCUUUCAUCGGAGAGCUUCACUCGUCCUCCGACGAGGUCUCAUCCACCGCAACCGCACCGAAAACACUUAACUAGACCAUAACAAGACAAUCUAAAAAAGUGAAACUAAAUCCUAGAGCGAACCAAGGAACCAGAGCCGGCGACGCAAGGCACAUGACGCCUUCACCCCCUGGAGUCAAAGCCGACAACGUUGGAACUGUAGGAGCCUCCACGUUCCGGAAGCUUAGCCGGCGCCGCAAAGCUGAAGAAGCCUUCACCAACCCGGGAUCUUUAUCGGCGAUGCUAGAGCUACGGGAGCCUCCACAUCCGGAACAGACAGAACCUGAACUGAAGAUCUGAUAAUCCUUCAUCCUCGCCGUGAAUCUAGAGGAAGACGAGUUGCCAAGAGCGGAGCUCUUCCCGGAACAAAACCCUAACCCAGAUCCACCAGCAUGUCGGAGAGAAACCACAGAUCCGAGCCUACCGCAUGAAGAAAUGACCGAAAUGAGAAGGAAGAGAGCCACCGGCGCCGGCACGCGCUCAGACGCGCAGCCGGACGCCGGAGCUACCUUACACGCGACUCUCUCUGCUCUCUCUCUCUCUCUCUCUCUCUUCUUUUAACUCUCUCUCUGACGCACUUCCUCAUUCAUCUUAUCCGUAAAUGAGUACAACAUUGUUUUUAUAUAAUGAGUUUAUCUCUAGUUUACAUGACAUAAUAGCUAAACCUCAUUAAACCAACAUUGAUUACAUGGUUAUCUACACUAAUACACACAAUCGUUAAAACAUAUAUAGAUAAACAAUCCUACUUGAGAAAGGAAAAACCACUUAACGAAAAGGACGUCCUUUUCUCUUUAGCUUAAUUGAUACUUUGAUGUUAAUGAAAAGUACAAGCUUAAACUACUCUCCCUCAUUUUAAAAUAUUAGUUUCAGUUUCAGUGAAAAGGAGAUAAACUAGUAGAUGCAUAGAUUUAGCCGAAAAUGGGAAAAUAUAGUAGACAGCGUAUGAUUGAUUAGGGGUGGGCAAAAAACCCGAACCGAACCGAACCAAACCAAACCGACCCAACCAAACCCGUACCGAUCUAAACCAAACCAAAGUAUAUGUGUAACUCGUUUGGUUCAAGAUUUUAUCAAACUAAAUGGUUCGGUUUGGUUUAAAACCAAACCGAAAAACCGAAGUGUUUUUUAAUUAGAUUAAUUACAUAUACUAAUAAUAUUAAGAUUUAAUGUAUUUAACCAUUUAGCAUAAAUAACUAAACAUAAUUUAUACAUUUUACUUUUAAGUGAAUAUAAUAAGCACAACUAAAAAUAAAAUAAAAGAAAUAUGAAUCUCAUACAUUAACAUCAAAACGAAAAAGUUAUUUUAUGAUAUUUAUACUAGGUUUGAAGAUAAUAAUAUAAAAGUAUUGAAUUACAUUUUCUACAUAUUUAUUGUGAUAUUUGGUUUUACGUUUAAAUAU